ensembl:misc_RNA Y_RNA Y RNA
GGCUGUUCCAAUUACAGUGGUGUUUAUAACUAAUUGAUCACAACCAGUUAGAGAUUUCUCUGUUCCUUCUCCACUCCCACUGCUUCACUUGGCUCUUCUUAA